rnacentral:rRNA from 1 species
GCAUACCCCUGAAUUACAUUCACUCGAACGGCAGUCACGGAGCUUGCUCUGGUGGCGAGUGGCGAACGGGUGAGUAAUAUAUCGGAACGUACCCUAGAGUGGGGGAUAACGUACCGAAAGUUACGCUAAUACCGCAUACGAUCUAAGGAUGAAAGUGGGGGAUCGCAAGACCUCAUGCUCGUGGAGCGGCCGAUAUCUGAUUAGCUAGUUGGUAGGGUAAAAGCCUACCAAGGCAUCGAUCAGUAGCUGGUCUGAGAGGACGACCAGCCACACUGGAACUGAGACACGGUCCAGACUCCUACNGGAGGCAGCAGUGGGGAAUUUUGGACAAUGGGCGAAAGCCUGAUCCAGCAAUGCCGCGUGAGUGAAGAAGGCCUUCGGGUUGUAAAGCUCUUUUGUCAGGGAAGAAACGGUGAGAGACUAAUAUCUCUUGCUAAUGACGGUACCUGAAGAAUAAGGCACCGGCUAAGCUACGUGCCAUGCAGCCGCGGUAACUACUGUAUCGUGUGCAAGCGUUAAUCGCGAAGUUACUGGGCGUAAAGCGUGCGCAGGCUGGUUUUCGUAAGUCUGACUGUGUAAAUCCCCGGGCUCAACCUGUGCCAAUUUGCAUUUGGAUGACUGCUAAGGCUACGAAUCUAGGCAAGUGGGGGUAGAAUUCCACUGUAGCAUUGAAAUGCUGUAGAUAUUGUGGAGGAACACCGAUGCUGAAUUGCAGCCCCCUGUGGUCAAGAUUGACGCUCAGUGCUCGAAAAUCGCGUUGGUGAGCAAACCAGGAUUAGAUACCCUGGUAUGUCCACGCCCUAACGAUGUCUACUAGUUGUCGGG